rnacentral:lncRNA from 1 species
CUCUGCAGAGUCAGCUGCAGCUGGCGCUGCAGCCAAACUCAUGCACCCAGGGAGGGAGGACAUGCUUUGGCCCUGUGCAGGAUGAACAAGAAGCGAAAACAACUCUAACCGAGGCUCACACCAUUUCUGUCUCAUAAUCAAAAGCCUGCAAACUCUGUUCUCUCCCCUCCUCCUCCACAAGGCGAUCUGGAGAUUUCCCGGGGAGCCUCAUCUUCUCACACAGACCCAAGCUCUGGGUAACAACUAAGAGCGGGGAGACCCUGGAGAACUCCAACACGCACCAGGGAGCUAGCUAAAACAAGGUUUCAGGAAACCGAAGAGUGCUUAUCGACCAAGGAAGAUACUUCUGGGAGCUACUUGUUCCUUAAUUGGCUCUGUCACUACACCGAGUCUAACCGAGGCACCGGCGGCUGGAGACAGGUGAGCCGCAAUGAACUAAUUCCACCCGGGUUGUUUAGUCCUCCUUUUCCUCGCGGCUCUUUGCUUUCCCGUGGCAAGGUGGCUUUUAAAACCUCCUAGGGCCAUGCAAGAGGGCAGCUGCACAAGGGAUGGGCUUCCCGGCUGCACCAGGCCCUGGGAGUCUGCGACCAGCAAAGAAGAAAAGGGACGAAGAGAGGAAAAGUCGGACAUCCCUACGUGAUCAGAGCAAAAGCUUGAAGCCAUGGCGACCACCCAGCAGCCACACUCGGAAUAACGCGCACAGGCGCUUGGCCGCCCGGGCCACGCAGAACCGCAGCAGCCUCCAGCCUGCCGCCCUCCUGCUUUCCCGCGCCUCAUCGACGCACCGCCUCACCCACGCACCGCCUCGCGCCCACCCGCAGCCGCCGCCUCAGGCCCGCCCGCCCCCGGCUCGCUCCUCUCCCGCCAAGUUCCCACACACAGCCCCAGCCUCGCACCAGCCAAGCCUCCCAGGUCCACCUCGGCCUCAGCGCACCUCAGUCCGUCCUCCCCACAACUCUGGCGCCCGACCGCAAGGGCCGCGUCUCACAACCCCGACCCCAGGUUUUACUCCAGGGCUCCGCCUUGCCAAACCCAGGCAAACUGAAGGAGAGACGGCGGGGGAGGGGAAACAGCGUGAGGAGGCAGGAGGGGGCGGGGAGCAAACCGACGGUCCGGAAGCAAUAGGGAGCGUCCUUCCGGCCUCUCCGACGGUAGCCCGAAGGGACCAAAUUUAUUGCAUAGCGCUGCGGUACAGGGGUUAUGGGAAUUUAAGGAGAGUAUGCAUGUGUGAAGUAGGGCAUUUCCAGAUAAGGGGCUAGUUGGACAAAGCAGGUAUUUUCCGGAGUCAUUUAUGGAAGCUCUUCCCCUACAGGUGGCCAAUAUAGUUGAUUAUUGUUUUAAUUUGAAGAUUUUUUUUAGUAAUAAAAUUAAUUUUUUAGCAAAAUUAAUGAGUGUUCAUAUAGGAAAUAAGAAAAAUACAAAUAAACAACAACAAAAAAC